GACGAACGCUGGCGGCGUGCUUAACACAUGCAAGUCGAACGAAGAGCGAUGGAAGCUUGCUUCUAUCAAUCUUAGUGGCGAACGGGUGAGUAACGCGUAAUCAACCUGCCCUUCAGAGGGGGACAACAGUUGGAAACGACUGCUAAUACCGCAUACGAUCUAACCUCGGCAUCGAGGAUAGAUGAAAGGUGGCCUCUACAUGUAAGCUAUCACUGAAGGAGGGGAUUGCGUCUGAUUAGCUAGUUGGAGGGGUAACGGCCCACCAAGGCGAUGAUCAGUAGCCGGUCUGAGAGGAUGAACGGCCACAUUGGGACUGAGACACGGCCCAGACUCCUACGGGAGGCAGCAGUGGGGAAUCUUCCGCAAGGGACGAAAGUCUGACGGAGCAACGCCGCGUGAGUGAUGACGGCCUUCGGGUUGUAAAGCUCUGUUAAUCGGGACGAAAGGCCUUCUUGCGAAUAGUUAGAAGGAUUGACGGUACCGGAAUAGAAAGCCACGGCUAACUACGUG
rnacentral:rRNA from 1 species